rnacentral:rRNA from 1 species
UACGUAGGGGGCAAGCGUUGUCCGGAAUCAUUGGGCGUAAAGCGCGUGUAGGCGGCCUUGUAAGUCCGUUCUGAAAGCCCGGGGCUCAACCCCGGGAGGCGGAUGGAUACUGCAAGGCUCGAGUACGGAAGAGGCGAGUGGAAUUCCCGGUGUAGCGGUGAAAUGCGCAGAUAUCGGGAGGAACACCAAUGGCGAAGGCGGCGCUCUGGGCCGGAACUGACGCUGAGGAGCGAAAGCGUGGGUAGCAAACAGG